rnacentral:lncRNA from 1 species
CGGCGCGCGCGCGCGCACAUCCCUACCUAGCAGCGCGUUGGCCGGCGACCGCGGAGCUUGAACCUGACAGAGCCGGAGUUGAGCCAGCAGGGACGCGCGGAGGGGCGAGAGAGCCCUCAGAGAUGUCCGCGCGCCUGCGAACCAACCCUGAGCAAGGUGGACUGAAGCCCGAGUUCUAAGCCCUGAUUGCUGAGUUCUAAGAUAAUUCCGUUUGGGGAGAGCAUUUUCUCAUUCCUAAACCUGGUUUCUAAAUUUCCAUCCUUAAUUCCCAGUAACCUUGAAGGAUGUGGCCUCAAAGUGGGCUUUUUCACCACUCUUCUUUGUCCUUACAGGGUGUCUGUGUUUGUGAAGCGCUCCCUCACUGAUUUCUUCUGUGGGACCCUAGUUGAAAAGGGAAAUAACCUGCGGGGAAAGAAGGACAAAGUGCUGAGCACUGCUGGACAUCAUAUGAAGAGAAGGACUCCAGUCUUCAAAAGCUUUCUGAAUUCUAUUUGUGGCCCCUGGAGGACUGAGAUGCUCUUCUGAUUUAGGUUUGUUUGAUUGUUUGUUGUGUGG